rnacentral:rRNA from 1 species
UGCCAGCCGCCGCGGUAAUACGGAGGGUGCAAGCGUUAAUCGGAAUUACUGGGCGUAAAGCGCGCGUAGGCGGUUGUUUUAGUCGGAUGUGAAAGCCCCGGGCUUAACCUGGGAACUGCAUCCGAUACUGGGCAACUAGAGUACGAGAGAGGGGGGUAGAAUUCCACGUGUAGCGGUGAAAUGCGUAGAUAUGUGGAGGAAUACCAGUGGCGAAGGCGGCCCCCUGGCUUGAUACUGACGCUGAGGUGCGAAAGCGUGGGGAGCAAACAGGAUUAGAUA